AUUGAACGCUGGCGGCAGGCUUAACACAUGCAAGUCGAGCGGGGUGAUGGUGCUUGCACUAUCACUUAGCGGCGGACGGGUGAGUAAUGCUUAGGAAUCUGCCUAUUAGUGGGGGACAACAUCUCGAAAGGGAUGCUAAUACCGCAUACGUCCUACGGGAGAAAGCAGGGGAUCACUUGUGACCUUGCGCUAAUAGAUGAGCCUAAGUCGGAUUGGCUAGUUGGUGGGGUAAAGGCCUACCAAGGCGACGAUCUGUGGCGGGUCUGAGAGGAUGAUCCGCCCCACUGGGACUGAGACACGGCCCAGACUCCUACGGGAGGCAGAAGUGGGGAAUAUUGGACAAUGGGGGGAACCCUGAUCCAGCCAUGCCGCGUGUGUGAAGAAGGCCUUAUGGUUGUAAAGCACUUUAAGCGAGGAGGAGGCUCUUUUGGUUAAUACCCAAGAUGAGUGGACGUUACUCGCAGAAUAAGCACCGGCUAACUCUGUGCCAGCCGCCGCCGUAA
rnacentral:rRNA from 1 species